GACGAACGCUGGCGGCGUGCUUAACACAUGCAAGUCGAACGGAAAGGCCCUGCUUUUGUGGGGUGCUCGAGUGGCGAACGGGUGAGUAACACGUGAGUAGCCUGCCCUUGACUUUGGGAUAACUUCAGGAAACUGGGGCUAAUACCGGAUAGGAGCUCCUGCUGCAUGGUGGGGGUUGGAAAGUUUCGGCGGUUGGGGAUGGACUCGCGGCUUAUCAGCUUGUUGGUAGGGUAGUGGCUUACCAAGGCUUUGACGGGUAGCCGGCCUGAGAGGGUGACCGGCCACAUUGGGACUGAGAUACGGCCCAGACUCCUACGGGAGGCAGCAGUGGGGAAUAUUGCACAAUGGGCGGUAGCCUGAUGCAGCAACGCCGCGUGCGGGAUGACGGCCUUCGGGUUGUAAACCGCUUUCGCCUGUGACGAAGCGUGAGUGACGGUAAUGGGUAAAGAAGCACCGGCUAACUACGUGCCAGCAGCCGCGGUGAUACGUAGGGUGCGAGCGUUGUCCGGAUUUAUUGGGCGUAAAGGGCUCGUAGGUGGUUGAUCGCGUCGGAAGUGUAAUCUUGGGGCUUAACCCUGAGCGUGCUUUCGAUACGGGUUGACUUGAGGAAGGUAGGGGAGAAUGGAAUUCCUGGUGGAGCGGUGGAAUGCGCAGAUAUCAGGAGGAACACCAGUGGCGAAGGCGGUUCUCUGGGCCUUUCCUGACGCUGAGGAGCGAAAGCGUGGGGAGCGAACAGGCUUAGAUACCCUGGUAGUCCACGCUGUAAACGGUGGGUACUAGGUGUGGGGUCCAUUCCACGGGUUCCGUGCCGUAGCUAACGCUUUAAGUACCCCGCCUGGGGAGUACGGCCGCAAGGCUAAAACUCAAAGGAAUUGACGGGGCCCCGCACAAGCGGCGGAGCAUGCGGAUUAAUUCGAUGCAACGCGUAGAACCUUACCUGGGUUUGACAUGGAUCGGGAGUGCUCAGAGAUGGGUGUGCCUCUUUUGGGGUCGGUUCACAGGUGGUGCAUGGCUGUCGUCAGCUCGUGUCGCGAGAUGUUGGGUUAAGUCCCGCAACGAGCGCAACCCUUGUUCACUGUUGCCAGCACGUUAUGGUGGGGACUCAGUGGAGACCGCCGGGGUCAACUCGGAGGAAGGUGGGGAUGACGUCAAGUCAUCAUGCCCCUUAUGUCCAGGGCUUCACGCAUGCUACAAUGGCUGGUACAGAGAGUGGCGAGCCUGCGAGGGUGAGCGAAUCUCGGAAAGCCGGUCUCAGUUCGGAUUGGGGUCUGCAACUCGACCUCAUGAAGUCGGAGUCGCUAGUAAUCGCAGAUCAGCAACGCUGCGGUGAAUACGUUCCCGGGGCU
rnacentral:rRNA from 1 species